UUGCGCUGGUUGCUGGGGAGAUGAUUAUGAUGCCACAGAUCGGCUGAUGCCCCAUCUCCAGCAGGGAAUCAGGAGCAGGCCCAGCUGAGCUCUCAAAAUGCAAGGACUCUGGCUCCACACAGGCUUCCUUCAGAAUACAGAGCAUAGAGGAGGAAAGGAAAAGCUGUCCCUCCUCAGCCUCUCUGGGAUGUUUCCCAGGAACGGCCAGUGAAGGUAACCUCCACAGCAGACAUGAUCCAUUGUUGCUGGCAGAGCAGCCCAGACCCAAGAGAUGGACUGCACUAUGGGUGGAUGCGUUCCUGCCACAUUUAGGACCAAACAUCGAUAAAACAUCCCCUUCCCUUCAGCUGUAACAAUGCCUCACCUUUGGAACAACCCUGCACUGGGCUGGAGGUGAAAGCUAUGAGUUACUUGUUACGUAUGACACCCUUGGGAUUCUGGUACGCUGGCACCAGCACCCUCCAUCCUGCUCUUUCUGGUCCUUACUGCUCAGUCAUGGGAUCUACACCACAGGAAUUAAUUCAUGGAAGUUCUAUGGACCAACUCAGGAAUCAGACCAGACUGAUAAUCACAAUGGCUCCUUCUGUCCUCAUAAUCCGUGCAUCCAUGAAUCUAUGAAAAAUGCAUUUCAGCCAACAGUUGGGAGACUUAUAGCACAGUAAUGAAUUCUGCAAACUAGCAAGGAAGAGAGCAAACAUCUGCACUGCCAACAGUACCUUGUUCACUGACUUUAACAGUGCAGAGAAGUUUUAAUUAUUCAUGACUCUCCUUCUCUGAGUCCUAGUAAAUGCGCUGGAGUCUCAGACAGC